CCGCCGGCACCGCAGCAAUGGCGGCGCCCGCGUGAGCCCGACGCUGACCGCGGCUGCCGAGUCCUUGGUCUUGGUAAUUCUGCUGCUUACCAUGCCCUGGUUCUGACACAUGUUGGAUCUCUCCAUUAGCCACUUUGACGUAUUAGCCUGGAAGAAAAACAACAGGAAGAACAGAGGUCCUACAUUGACUCUUUUUCUCUUCUCCUUGGAAAUACCAUUCAGUCUGGGAAAAUUUGGGUGGAUUCAGUUUUUCAUCACAUCACCACAUUAGAAUAAUAUAUUUGGAAGGGUUAUCAAGGAUUUUCUACAUUGCUUUCCUACAGGCAUUUGUAUAUAAACUUUCUUCCAUAUGUUUCAGUGGCCUUACACCAGUUGGGUUGUUUUUCACUGCUAUUCAUAUAUUGGAUGCUAAAACCAUUGCUAUAAUCGUGUCCAUAAACCUUUAUGAUUUUUAAACAUGCUUCUACUGAUUCUAUGUUAUCCUCAAAAAUUCUUUGAAUCCAUUAUCUUGCUCUGUUGAAUUAGUUCAAAAUUUUACCUAAAUACACUUCCCAUGUUUUGUGGAAGCUGCUUUGAAAUUAAACAGAAAUUUGAGAAGCUUCUGUUGGCUGCCUCAGAGUGUCAAGCACAUUAAAAAUUCCUCCCAACCCCCUAGAAAAUUAAGAGCUAAAGAAAUAAUUUAUUUUUCUCCCCCUACUUCUAGCUAGAUUUGAACUAGAACAUAAAUUCACACUAUGAUGAAAUUCUGGUUUUUCCUUCAGUAUUGUUUGGGAAAUGAUGGAAGACUUCAGUGCAUUAAUAAAGCAGUUUAGACACCUGUCUGUCACAGUGGUGGAGCUCAGAAGAUCAAAAGAACAUUCUCAUCUGCUUGACACACACACACCCAGUGUUUGUUCAUUAAUGGCAUACUUUUAGUGUAGCUUAUAACUGUACACAUUGUACAACAACGCGUUGCCAUGAAGUUCCCUGUCCCUACGGAACAGAAGGACCAGAAAAAAAAGUGGUUGAUUAAAGCAUUCUCAGCAUCUGAGAACAUCCCUAACACUGACGCAUUUUACUAUGAACUUAGAAAGGGUGGGAAGAAUAACUGCUCACCACCAUCUCCAUUUGAAGGUAUUGUUCAGAAUAAAUCCCUGGUAGAAUAAUCCUUGAUAAGAGGCGUUCUAGCUUUCAGAAGUCAUGCUCUCAAAGCAUACACAGUGGGGAGAUGUUGUAGUAUCAGUGCUCCAUAAAAUAUGCACAAAUUGAUUUGGGAUUGUCCAUCUGUUUUGGUGACAGAAAGUUAAUGGCGGCUUCACCAGGGUAUGCUUGGUGGGCUGCAGUGGUCUGGAUAGCUCAGUCCUGCUCAGCACAGCCUGUCCGAGUUCCCAAGCAGCUCCCAGGCGCAGGCAACCUCAGCAAGCUCAAGUGAUAUCAGCUCUUAUUGAUUAUCAGCUCAUUUGUGGUUUCAGCUCUUUAGCUUGCUAGGUGCCACAGCAGACACAGGGAGAGAGAGGAGAAGGCCAUGUGAGGUUCCAAAGAAAUUCUUUAUUGGAGUCUUCCACGAAGGUUCUCAGUGACAGCUCUUCUACUGAACUGGACAGAAGUAGCUGUUUAUAUAGGGUACAGGGGUUUUGGAAAUUGUCCAAUAGUAAGGGUCAAGGGAAAGUGACCUAUAGUAUUACAGAGGGAUAAGCAAGGGUCUGAAGGUGGAAGAGGGGCUUCUAAGGCCCAGUCAUGCUGACUUGGCAUCUCCUAUCUUAGGCUUCUGGCCUCCAAGGAAGCCUUGCAGGCCCUGGGCCUGCUACAGAAAGUGAAGGUCUAGAUAUGUGAGUCUUAAACCAAAUAUGACCUAUUUUAGGUUCUGAAGUAAAAGAGAGUUUGUCCUUCCCUGACAGAGACAAGAUCCAUUGUGUUUUUCCUGAUACUCAUUCCAUAGAGUCUCUAAAGACCCAAACUUCACUGAAAAGCAAAAAGCCCAUGGGGGGAGAGUGGAGGGGUUGUAACUAGACAACCUUUAAGGUCCCUUUCAAUGCAGACCAUUCCAUUUUUCUAUGAUUUGCUUACUGGUUUUGCAAUUUUAGAAAAUAUAUUUUCUCACCUCUAGUUUAGGAAAACCCCAGUUAUAAUGAGGUUAGCUGGGUGGAUUCCAGAUCACACUCAUUCCUUGCAUGAUAGCUUUGACUUGAUGGCAGAGUACCAGAAAGGAAUCUGACCCUUUCUCUCCAUGAAAGUGAAAGUGCUAGGCGGGCAUUUCAGCACGCAGGGUAACGUGCCGGUGUAUCGUACACAGAUAAUCCUCUUUCUGCUUUGCUGAUUGUAACCUGCUUAGUCUUACAUGAAAUGUAUUCAUCGUCUUUUCCUGAGCCUGAUCCAAAGCCUGUUGAAGUCAGUGGAAAGAGUCCAGAUAUUUUUUCAGUAGUUUUGGAGCUGAGUCUAUAUGAACAGCUGGUCUAGCGCUGAGUCUUGUAGUUGAAAGACAAGGAAAAUAAGCAGCACCAAGCCACAUUGAACCUGAUGCUGUAUUAAAUAUAUAAAUGAAAGUAAUGUGAAACUUGUAAAACCAGACUGGACAAAACACUCUGAAACAUGCUGCAGGGAACAGUCUAGUGCUAGCGGGGGAAUAAGUUAGCUAUUUAAUGAUUUCUUUUCCAUAGCUUUUACUUUUCCACAUAUUCUGUAAUGUAACAGUACUUUUUUCUCCUUGGGCAAAUAGCUGUCCAACAGCAGCACUGGAACGAGAACAUAUGUAGAGUUUGCUUUUAUCUUACAUUACAAAAGAAGUAUGAAUACCUUGUGUUAUUCCAAGUAUAAAAUUACAGGUGUCAAAUCAUUUGGUGCUUUAAAUCCUGUGCCAGAAAAGUAAUCCAGUAAAAAUAGCUGUGUCCUGUCAAAGCUGAGCAGUUAGUAUUGUUAUUACAGUUUCUUGCAUGGCUCCAAAAGUGUAAGACGGCAAAAACAGGUGUAAGAGACCAGCAAGAAACUUGCCUGGAAUCACCCAGAGCAUAGAAAGACAGGAGGAUAGAAACGAGGUAAACCUAAUGACCCAAAGUGAGAUUCUGCCUGGUCUGAUUUACAGUUGGUUUGUACCUUAAAAAUGCUGUUAAACAAAAGCUGGUUAACAUCUUAGGGGCUGAUUCUUACCCAGAUAUCUCAAAGAGUUAAAUUAAAGAGUAAUUUGUGCUGGGUUCUGGGUGAGUAUGUGGUUGAUCCUCUGUCCUAAGGAGUGUACCAUGUAAAAAGUAGAAGAGUAUUUAGCUGGAAAGGUUGAAGAAUUUUAUCAUCUCCACAUUACAGGUGAGAGUGCAAAACAGGGGUGAAGAAGUUUUGGCUGCGUUAAACAGUCGGGGUCUGAGUUGUGUGUGAACCCCAAAGUUCUGUCAAGUGCUUUGCAAACAAAGCUAUCCAUACCUAACUGUGGUAUGGAUAUGAAGUUGUGAAUGAAUGUAUGUGGUGAAGUUUCCUGUGGACCUGAAAUAAAAUAGGAGAUACAAGAACAGGUCAUAGCAGAGCUAUGGGUUUUGUUAUGUGAAUUUCUCCUCAAAAGAUUGUGAAGAGCCAGACACACUUUAUGCAGCUUCUGGAAUUUAGGUUAAUACUUUUGUUGUCCAUUCCACAGAAGCCAGGAUGGAAGAAAAUGUAUAUAGUAGGUUAUGUCUACUAGGGGGCAGAAGAAUCACUGCAUUUAAUGCU